CACUGGUAAUGGAGGGUACUGGCAGAGCCAGGGGCUGUGGCUUGGAGGUGAGGUGAGGUGUCCCCCCAACAAGUGUUCUCUUUUUUGGAACCAGAAACAUGGUAACCCUAUGCAGUGAGAGCAUUAAUAGUACAAUGCAGAAAGUCUCUGCUUUUGGUUUUGAGCAACAUUUCCAGUGAAAAUCCUGCUCAGUGCCUGUUGCCUCAGGCUGCAGCGCUCUCAUUCGCUUUGUGAGGAUAGCUCUCAAGUUCUGAGAAGACAAAACAUGUUCAGUACACGAAGAAUCACAGGACAUCUUGGCCAUCCAAGACAUUACCAGGGAUCGCUAUGUGGAAGUGGCUCACGACGAUCCCCUGAUUAUGCGUGAUCACUGCAAAUGCGUUUAUAAUUUUGGUUCUAUCAGAGGGUGUCUGCUGAUCUUCACUGUUAGGAGGAUGCAUUUGAAUUUAGUUUUGAACUGUAACCCAUUUUUUCUUAAUUCUGUUAAAUAAGUGGCCGGUCUCCCAUCCAUUUAAGGUGGCAACACAUGCAGAGUACUGACUAAAGGCAGCAUUUUUUUUCAUUUUCUAUUUUCUCACUCUUGCCACACGGUGGAGCUAAAACAACACAGGUAAUUUGGCAUUUCCUUUCACUUUUUUACCUUGGGGUCUCUGUUCCCUUGUUGUCAUCUGGCUGGGAAUAGCUGCUAAAACAAUUCCUUAAAAGAAUGAAUGAAGCAAGGGGGACACAAACACAGUUAUAUCUUCUGGCAGUUCAAAAUGCUUAUUGUACGCUCAGCCAUCCUUUCCCUUAUGAUGAGAUUGCAUUGUUUAACAAGAAUGGAUUCUAAUCAUUAUGCUUAAUUACCAAAUAAAGAUUAGCCAAAGUU